rnacentral:rRNA from 1 species
GCCUACGGGAGGCAGCAGUAGGGAAUCUUCCACAAUGGACGAAAGUCUGAUGGAGCAACGCCGCGUGAGUGAAGAAGGAUUUCGGUUCGUAAAACUCUGUUGCAAGGGAAGAACAAGUAGCGUAGUAACUAGCGCUACCUUGACGGUACCUUGUUAGAAAGCCACGGCUAACUACGUGCCAGCAGCCGCGGUAAU